CCCUUAGAUGUUCUGGGCCGCACCCGCGCUACACUGAUGCAUUCAACGAGUCUAAAACCUGCUCUGAUAGGGGUGGGUAAUCUUUUGAAUGUGCAUCGUGAUUGGGAUAGAUGAUUGCAAUUUUUCAUCUUCAACGAGGAAUGCCUAGUAAACGCAAGUCAUCAGCUUGCAUUGAUUACGUCCCUGCCCUUUGUACACACCGCCCGUCGCUCCUACCGAUUGAAUGAUCCGAUGAAUAUCAUGGAUUGAGGAUGCAAGCAGGUUCGCCUGUCUUCAUCUUCGAGAAGUGAAGUAAAUCUUAUCAUUUAGAGGAAGGAGAAGUCGUAACA
rnacentral:rRNA from 1 species